rnacentral:pre_miRNA from 1 species
UUCUUGCUCAAAUGAGUGUUCCACGUAAUUUAAUAUCCUAUCUUUUGGAUGGAUCAAUUUAUUUUAGUUUCGUCUGCAAAACUUCAGAAUUUUCAGAUGAUGUAACAUUAUCCCGAAAGCUGCUUUAAAUUCUUGGAAAUUUAUUGUGUUUUAG